AUACGAAGGUCCCAAGCGUUAUUCGGAAUCACUGGGCGUAAAGAGUACGUAGGCGGUUUGGUAAGUCAGGUGUGAAAUCCCGAAGCUCAACUUCGGAACUGCAUCCGAUACUGCCAGACUUGAGUAAUGGAGAGGCAGGUGGAAUUCUCGGUGUAGCAGUGAAAUGCGUGGAUAUCGAGAGGAAGACCAAUGGCGAAGGCAGCCUGCUGGACAUUUACUGACGCUGAGGUACGAAGGCUAGGGGAGCGAAAGGGAUUAGAAACCCGUGUAGUCC
rnacentral:rRNA from 1 species